GAUGAACGCUGGCGGCGUGCCUAAUACAUGCAAGUCGAACGAGGUGCUUUUGUAGCAAUACGAGAGUAUCCUAGUGGCGAACGGGUGCGUAACGCGUUGGUGACCUGCCCCAAAGUGUGGGAUAACAGUCCGAAAGGAUUGCUAAUACCGCAUGUUGUCAUGAGGUCUAAAAACUUAUGACUAUAGCAGCAAUGCGAUUUGGGAGUGACCUGCGUCCCAUCAGCUAGUUGGUGAGGUAACGGCUCACCAAGGCGACGACGGGUAGGCGACCUGAGAGGGUGGCCCCCCACAGUGGAACUGAAACACGGUCCAUACACCUACGGGUGGCAGCAGUAGGGAAUAUUGCUCAAUGGGCGAAAGCCUGAAGCAGCAACGCCGCGUGCGCGAUGAAGGUCUUCGGAUCGUAAAGCGCUUUUCUGCGAGAUGAGAAAGGACAGUAUCGUAGGAAUAAGUCUCGGCUAACUACGUGCCAGCCGCCGCCGUAAUAC
rnacentral:rRNA from 1 species